rnacentral:lncRNA from 1 species
ACCAAAUUUUUGUAACUUCAGUAAAAUUGGAGCCCUCAGACCUGUCAAGCUCUUUAAUGAAGUAGAUAAGUUCUGCAACCUUCUUCUAACAAUUAGUCUACUUGUUAGGUUGGCGCACUUCGGCAGAGCAGCAGCUGUCCGACAUAAAACUUAUCAAGAUGGUGCAACUAAAUAAUGCUGAGAUUGGACAAGACUUGAGUGGUACAGAGGCAACAUCUGAUCUCAAAUCUGAGACCGUAUCACAAGAUGAAGAGCAAAUUUGCAAUCAUAUAAGAGAAGCUGCCUCCAGCAUAUUCACUCAGUUUCUCUCAGAAAGUGCAUCUACAAAAUUGAAGAUUGAUCCAGUUUUGGUAGAGCAGUUAUGGACGAAGAUUUGUUCACAGCCACCAGACGAAACUUGGUUUGAUAAUGUGCAAGCAGCAAUCUUGAAAGAACUACAAACUGAUGAAAAUUACCUGAAUGGUUUCCGUGGGAGUCAGUCAUACAUCAAACUCCUCUCAGACCUUGAGUUAUUCCAUCAUAAGGAAGAAGAUCUCCUUCUUCAGAUUCCACCAGUCUUUCGGAUAAUACAAGUGUUGCCUCUUUGCCAUUCGAUUCCAUCAAAGAAUUUGGACCAGAUGACUUCUUGA